rnacentral:rRNA from 1 species
GACGAACGCUGGCGGCGUGCUUAACACAUGCAAGUCGAACGGAAAGGCCCUGCUUUUGUGGGGUGCUCGAGUGGCGAACGGGUGAGUAACACGUGAGUAACCUGCCCUUGACUUUGGGAUAACUUCAGGAAACUGGGGCUAAUACCGGAUAGGAGCUCCUGCUGCAUGGUGGGGGUUGGAAAGUUUCGGCGGUUGGGGAUGGACUCGCGGCUUAUCAGCUUGUUGGUGGGGUAGUGGCUUACCAAGGCUUUGACGGGUAGCCGGCCUGAGAGGGUGACCGGCCACAUUGGGACUGAGAUACGGCCCGGACUCCUACGGGAGGCAGCAGUGGGGAAUAUUGCACGAUGGGCGGAAGCCUGGUGCAGCAACGCCGCGUGCGAGAUGACGGCCUUCGGGUUGUAAACCGCUUUCGCCUGUGACGAAGCGUGAGUGACGGUAAUGGAUAAAGAAGCACCGGCUAACUACGUG